GCCCGUCACUUGAAAAAACUUUGGAGCCAGGGAACAUCUGCGUAUCUCUGCCCGUUUUUUUUGCAAUUUAUUCUAGUUCUGGAUUCUAGUCAAAAUAUGUAGUAGAUCAUUGGUUGUGACCAAAUUGUACAUAUUCUCAAGUAUUAUUUUUCUUCUAUUAUGCUUCAAUAAAUUUCAUGUAAAACUAGGGAAGAGAGAGCCAAUACGAAAAUGGCUCGAUUUUAUUCUUGAACAAUUUCCACUUAGAGCGGUUUACGAGUUGACGUCCCACUGCCUUCACAAUCGACCAGGAACCCUCGAAUACGACCGACAAGGAUAAGGACGGCCGCAGUGGAUUCUAACAAUGGGCUCUGUACUACGAACUCGCAGGACGUGUCAGGGACAGUAACAAACCGUCAGUCUCAAUACAGUAACAAACCGUCUCUAAAAUUAAUACAAUACCCAGUACGAUCAACGGAACAAGGGCCUACAACUCUCCAACAAUGCAUCAUAAGAACGAAUGCUCACCGUAGAUUUGUAGAGCUUUGUUUUCUCGUCAAUUUGAUGCAUUAUUUCACUACUUAAAGUUUUCCUUCUAUUGUUAUAACAGAUUCAACAAUUGAUCACUUGACAAUUAAAUUUGAGUCUGGUACAUCUGGUACAAAAUUUUUGACUUUGUAGCUUAAUGAAGACUAGUUGGGAGGUAAACAUAGCAAAAAUACUUAUCUCUAGCCCGUCUGUUGAAGGUGUGGAACUGCUAAGUUGACACUUGUUGCAGAGUUGAAAAUUUCACCCCCCACAUUGAAUCAUAACAAUUCUUUUCUUAUUUACUUUCAAUGUUAUUUAUAUAUUCUGUAAAAGGACGAAGGAGUGAGUCAAUUUUGUUGUCCAACGAACUUUAAUUGUAAAAAGGUUCAAAGAAUACAUGUUUAAAAUUUGA